rnacentral:rRNA from 1 species
GACGAACGCUGGCGGCGUGCCUAAUACAUGCAAGUCGAACGCAGUGGGGACGGGUGAGUAACACGUGGGUAACCUCCCAUCAGAGGGGAUAACACUUGGAAACAGGUGCUAAACCGAUACUGAUGGAUGGACCCGCGGUGGAUUAGCUAGUUGGUGGGGUAACGGCUCACCAAGGCCACGAUGCAUAGCCGACCUGAGAGGGCGGUCGGCCACACGGGGACUGAGGCACGGCCCAGACUCCUACGGGAGGCAGCAGUGGGGAAUCUUCGGAAAUGGACGAAAGUCUGACCGAGCAACGCCGCGUGGGUGAAGAAGGGUUUCGGAGUGUAAAACUCUGUUGUUAGAGAAGCGGUAUCUAACCAGAAAGCCACGGCUAACUACGUGCCAGCAGGCGGGGUAAUAC